AGUGAACGCUGGCGGUAGGCCUAACACAUGCAAGUCGAACGGCAGCACAGAGGAGCUUGCUCCUUGGGUGGCGAGUGGCGGACGGGUGAGGAAUACAUUGGAAUCUACUCUGUCGUGGGGGAUAACGUAGGGAAACUUACGCUAAUACCGCAUACGACCUACGGGUGAAAGCAGGGGAUCUUCGGACCUUGCGCGAUUGAAUGAGUCGAUGUCGGAUUAGCUAGUUGGCGGGGUAAAGGCCCACCAAGGCGACGAUCCGUAGCUGGUCUGAGGGGGUGGACAGCCAAACAGGAACUGAGACACGGUCCAGACUCCUACGGGAGGCAGCAGUGGGGAAUAUUGGACAAUGGGCGCAAGCCUGAUCCAGCCAUACCGCGUGGGUGAAGAAGGCCUUCGGGUUGUAAAGCCCUUUUGUUGGGAAAGAAAUACAUCUGGUUAAUACCCGGGUGGGAUGACGGUACCCAAAGAAUAAGCACCGGCUAACUUCGUGCCAGCCGCCGCGGUAA
rnacentral:rRNA from 1 species